GUCUACAGCCAUAACGCCCUGAACGUGCCCUAUCUUGUCUGCUCUUGGAAGCUAAGCAGAGUCGAGCCUGGUUAGUGCUUGGAUGGGAUAUAUGUGAAAACUGAGGCUCGGGAUG
ensembl:rRNA 5S_rRNA 5S ribosomal RNA